CCUACGGGGUGCAGCAGUGGGGAAUAUUGGGCAAUGGGCGCAAGCCUGACCCAGCAACGCCGCGUGAAGGAAGAAGGCUUUCGGGGUGUAAACUUCUUUUAAUAGGGAAGAGCAGAAGACGGUACCUCUUGAAUAAGCCAAGGCUAACUACGUGCCAGCAGCCGCGGUAAUACGUAGGUGGGAAGCGUUUUCCGGAUUUACUGGGUUUAAAGGGCGUGCAUGCGGGAAGACAAGUCAGAUGUGAAAUCCAGCGGCUCAAACUCUGAACUGCAUUUGAAACUGUUUUUCUUGAGUACCGGAGAGGUAACCGGAAUUCCUUGUGUAGCGGUGAAAUGCGUAGAUAUAAGGCAGAACACCAGUGGCGAAGGCGGAUGACUGGACGGCAACUGACGGUGAGGCGCGAAAGCGUGGGGAGCAAACAGGAUUAGAUACCCUAGUAGUC
rnacentral:rRNA from 1 species